rnacentral:miRNA from 1 species
UUUGGGGCUGUGGUGCCACCAGC